CUUUGUUGCACGCCAUAGUUUAAAUUGCUUUUUUGUGCUAUUCCCUUGUACUGGGAUGCUUGUAUUUAAACUUGAACUCGUACACAAAGUCAAUGAAGUAAUAACAGGACCAUUUACACUGUUUCACGGCGUCAACGGCGAGUUGGCAUGAAUGGCAUUGUUGUUACUGCGAUUUGCAGUUGAGCUUAGAGACAGGACGUUUCACUGUACUGUUUGAUCGUUGAAAUGCACAAGUUAACAAGGGCAAAUUUUAAUGUUGUCAAGCGGAAAUGGGAAUGUUGUCAUGGGAG